AUUGAUCGUGACCUGCGCAGUGCAGUUAGAGCUUUCUAGACCAGACUUCCCUUUGUCUGAGUAUCCAGUGCGUCGCCCGACGUCUGCCGUGUAAGGAGGGUGCAUCCACAAAACUUUGGAAAAGAUGAAGGUCACCAUGUAAAGGAGAUAUUGGUCUCUCGAAUUGCCUAAGAUGCCUCUUGAUCUACAGUCUCACAAUUCGCACUCAAUAAUGCUCGCAUUCUCUCCACACGUGGCGUUGCUCCGGCACGUGGCACGCGGCGCCACUUGAGCGCGCUGCGACGGGGCGCAAGUGGCGCCACCAACACCUGAAGCGCCAAAGUCAACCUCACCUGCACGCGGCGCGCCCUGCUCACAUCGACGAGGCUCUGACGACUGUCUGACCUCUCAUUAUGAAAUUGAGAAGAUCUUUAAGGCUUUUCAACUUCAUAU